rnacentral:rRNA from 1 species
AUUGAACGCUGGCGGCAGGCCUAACACAUGCAAGUCGAACGAGUGGCGGACGGGUGAGUAAUGUCUGGGAAACUGCCUGAUGGAGGGGGAUAACUACUGGAAAUGGUAUCUAAUACCGCAUACCAUCGGAUGUUCCCAGAUGGGAUUAGCUUGUUGGUGGGGUAACGGCUCACCUAGGCGACGAUCCCUAGCUGGUCUGAGAGGAUGACCAGCCACACGGGAACUGAGACACGGUCCAGACUCCUACGGGAGGUAGCAGUGGGGAAUAUUGCACAAUGGGCGUAAGCCUGAUGCAGCCAUGCCGCGUGUAUGAAGAAGGCCGUCGGGUUGUAAAGUACUUUCAGCGGGGAGGCGUUACUCGCAGAAGAAGCACCGGCUAACUCCGUGCCAGCAGCCGAGGUAAUAC